rnacentral:rRNA from 1 species
ACUCCUGCGGGAGGCAGCAGUGGGGAAUUUUGGACAAUGGGCGAAAGCCUGAUCCAGCCAUGCCGCGUGCAGGAUGAAGGCCUUCGGGUUGUAAACUGCUUUUGUACGGAACGAAACGGCCUUUUCUAAUAAAGAGGGCUAAUGACGGUACCGUAAGAAUAAGCACCGGCUAACUACGUGCCAGCAGCCGCGGUAAUACGUAGGGUGCAAGCGUUAAUCGGAAUUACUGGGCGUAAAGCGUGCGCAGGCGGUUAUGUAAGACAGUUGUGAAAUCCCCGGGCUCAACCUGGGAACUGCAUCUGUGACUGCAUAGCUAGAGUACGGUAGAGGGGGAUGGAAUUCCGCGUGUAGCAGUGAAAUGCGUAGAUAUGCGGAGGAACACCGAUGGCGAAGGCAAUCCCCUGGACCUGUACUGACGCUCAUGCACGAAAGCGUGGGGAGCAAACAGGAGUAGAAACCCUAGUAGUCCCAUGA